rnacentral:sRNA from 1 species
AUACUCAUAUGUACUUCGGCUAAACCAAAAAAGCUUUGAGAAGCAAGAAGAAGCACGGUUAGUGUUUUGGAGUCGAAUAUGACUUGAUGUGAUGUGUAUGAUUGAGUAUAAGAACUUAAACUGCAACAGGAGCUUAAAAGCCUAAGUAAUGUUUCCUUGUUAGAAGAUACAAAGCCAAAGACUCAUACGGAUUUUAGCUACACCAUCAAAGCUUUGAGAAGCAAGAACAAACUUGGUUAGUGUUUUGGAGUCAAAUAUGACUAGAUGUCAUGUGUAUGAGUGAGUAUAACAACUAGAAU